CCGGCUAACUACGUGCCAGCAGCCGCGGUAAUACGUAGGGUGCAAGCGUUAUCCGGAAUUAUUGGGCGUAAAGAGCUCGUAGGCGGUUUGUCGCGUCUGCUGUGAAAACCCGAGGCUCAACCUCGGGCCUGCAGUGGUACGGGCAGACUAGAGUGCGUAGGGGGAGAUUGGAAUUCCUGGUGUAGCGGUGGAAUGCGCAGAUAUCAGGAGGAACACCGAUGGCGAAGGCAGAUCUCUGGGCCGUAACUGACGCUGAGGAGCGAAAGGGUGGGGAGCAAACAGGCUUAGAUACCCUGGUAGUCCACCCCGUAAACGUUGGGAACUAGUUGUGGGGUCCAUUCCACGGAUUCCGUGACGCAGCUAACGCAUUAAGUUCCCCGCCUGGGGAGUACGGCCGCAAGGCUAAAACUCAAAGGAAUUGACGGGGACCCGCACAAGCGGCGGAGCAUGCGGAUUAAUUCGAUGCAACGCGAAGAACCUUACCAAGGCUUGACAUAUACGAGAACACCGUAGAAAUACGGGACUCUUUGGACACUCGUAAACAGGUGGG
rnacentral:rRNA from 1 species